rnacentral:rRNA from 1 species
UACGAAGGGUGCAAGCGUUAAUCGGAAUUACUGGGCGUAAAGCGUGCGUAGGCGGUUUGUUAAGUCUGCUGUGAAAUCCCCGGGCUCAACCUGGGAAUGGCAGUGGAUACUGGCAAGCUAGAGUGUGUCAGAGGAUGGUGGAAUUCCCGGUGUAGCGGUGAAAUGCGUAGAGAUCGGGAGGAACAUCAGUGGCGAAGGCGGCCAUCUGGGACAAGCACUGACGCUGAGGCACGAAAGCGUGGGGAGCAAACAGG